rnacentral:rRNA from 1 species
UGCAAGUCGAACGAGAAAGUGGAGCAAUCCAUGAGUAAAGUGGCGCACGGGUGAGUAACACGUGACUAACCUACCCUGGAGUGGGGGAUAACUGAGGGAAACCUUAGCUAAUACCGCAUAACACCUACGGGUCAAAGGAGCAAUUCGCUUCAGGAGGGGGUCGCGGCCGAUUAGUUAGUUGGCGGGGUAAUGGCCCACCAAGACUGUGAUCGGUAUCCGGCCUGAGAGGGCGCACGGACACACUGGAACUGAAACACGGUCCAGACUCCUACGGGAGGCAGCAGUGGGGAAUUUUGCGCAAUGGGGGAAACCCUGACGCAGCAACGCCGCGUGGAGGAUGAAGUCCUUCGGGACGUAAACUCCUUUCGAUCGGGACGAUUAUGACGGUACCGGAAGAAGAAGCCCCGGCUAACUUCGUGCCAGCAGCCGCGGUAAUACGAGGGGGGCGAGCGUUGUUCGGAAUUAUUGGGCGUAAAGGGUGCGUAGGCGGUUUGGUAAGUCUUGUGUGAAAUCUCUGGGCUCAACUCAGAGUCUGCACGAGAAACUGCCGGGCUUGAGUGUGGGAGAGGUGAGUGGAAUUUCCGGUGUAGCGGUGAAAUGCGUAGAUAUCGGAAGGAACACCUGUGGCGAAAGCGGCUCACUGGACCACAACUGACGCUGAUGCACGAAAGCUAGGGGAGCAAACAGGAUUAGAUACCCUGGUAGUCCUAGCCCUAAACGAUGACUGCUUGGUGUGACGGGUACCCAAUCUCGCCGUGCCGUAGCUAACGCGUUAAGCAGUCCGCCUGGGGAGUACGGUCGCAAG